UGCCAGCCGCCGCGGUAAUACGAAGGGGGCAAGCGUUGUUCGGAAUUACUGGGCGUAAAGCGCGCGUAGGCGGGUCAUUAAGUCAGGGGUGAAAUCCCGGAGCUCAACUCCGGAACUGCCUUUGAUACUGGUGACCUAGAGUCCGGGAGAGGUGAGUGGAACUCCUAGUGUAGAGGUGAAAUUCGUAGAUAUUAGGAAGAACACCAGUGGCGAAGGCGGCUCACUGGCCCGGAACUGACGCUGAGGCGCGAAAGCGUGGGGAGCAAACAGGAUUAGAUC
rnacentral:rRNA from 1 species